rnacentral:rRNA from 1 species
AUUGAACGCUGGCGGCAUGCUUUACACAUGCAAGUCGAACGGCAGCGGGGGCUUCGGCCUGCCGGCGAGUGGCGAACGGGUGAGUAAUGCAUCGGAACGUACCCAGUCAUGGGGGAUAACUACGCGAAAGCGUAGCUAAUACCGCAUACGCCCUGAGGGGGAAAGCGGGGGAUCGCAAGACCUCGCGUGAUUGGAGCGGCCGAUGUCGGAUUAGCUAGUUGGUGGGGUAAAGGCCUACCAAGGCGACGAUCCGUAGCGGGUCUGAGAGGAUGAUCCGCCACACUGGGACUGAGACACGGCCCAGACUCCUACGGGAGGCAGCAGUGGGGAAUUUUGGACAAUGGGGGGCAACCCUGAUCCAGCCAUGCCGCGUGAGUGAAGAAGGCC